AUGGAAGCACACGCCGUUCCAUGCCGCCUGAAGAAACGAAUCGGGGAAUCGAGAGAAGAGGAGGCAGGGCGCGGGCAGUGUGCUGGGAACGGGAUGAGCUGGGAGAGGCCGAGAAGGCAGAGGAGAAAGAAGAGCUCGGAGCGCAAGUCAGUCCAGGACGCGGAAUAUUGGAACUGGAGUGUACUUUUGGGUGGAUCGGAGGCAGGCGUGGAUGUCUGCCUGCCUGCCUGUCUGUUUCAGGCCAGCCAGAAUGUGAGGUCAAUAUCACACCGAUGGUACACCAUUUGCAACUCCGUCAUGAAGUUCUGCGACGCAGUUGAACGUGUGGAGACGAUGUUGCCAUUGGGUGUGUCAACCAUGGAGAUCGUUGGACGCUCUGUCGUGAAGUACUGGAGGACCGUGGGCAGGCCAUGCACACACAUACAUUGCUGGAUGAAGCUUAAGGAUCAACUUGUGUGGGACGACAUGUACCGGCUCUGA
rnacentral:rRNA from 1 species